rnacentral:lncRNA from 1 species
GGGAUUACAGGGUGCUCUGUUUUCUGGGGAGCUGUUCAUAAUUUGCUGAAGGCCUGUGCUCUCCGGUUUCUGGGCUGCUGCAGGCCUAACUUCUCCGCUCCUGUGGAGUGAGUGCUUUCAGGCAAGGAAGGGAGCUUGAACCCCAGGAGGAAGCACUGAGGCAACCCCUGCGAUUGCAGGUCCUCAGCUCCCCUGAGAUGUGGUUUCGGAGUUUAAAACUUCAGUUUCGCAACAGCAGCCCAUUGAGAAGUGAACGCAAAUCAGCCUGACUCGUGACUUUUUAUUGACUUGGUUGAAUAUACCACUGUAGGGACAGAAGUUAUAUUUAUUUUCUAUAAUGUGUAUCUUUGCUAGUGACCCAUCUAGGAAAUAGGCUAAUCAAAGAGACCUUGGAAUCUUUUUUUUUUUUUUUUUUGAGACAGAGUCUCACUCUGUUGCCCAGGCUGGAGUGCAGUAGCACAAUCUCAGCUCACUCACUGCAGCCUCGAACUCCUGAACACAAGUGAUCCACCCACCUCAGUCACCCGAGUAGCUGGGACUACAGGGGUGUGUCAGUAUGCCUAGCUAAUUUUUUAUUUUUAUUUUUUGUAGAGAUGAGGUCUUGCUGUGUUUCCCAGGCUGGUCUGGAACUCCUGGGCUCACGCAAUCCUCCUGCCUCAGCCUCCCAAAGUGCGGGGAUCAUAAGCAUGAGCUCUGGCCCUGGCCAGAGUCUUUCUUUGAAGGCUGUGAAGGGAGAGAAAGUAUCAUAUGGCACUGUUUUUGCAGUUGGUGCUUGAAGGCAGGGAGGGCUGUAUGAAUGCCUGAGGCCCGUUCUUCCUGAACAGUCUUGGAUUCGAUUUCCCAUCUGCUCCGGGCACCCAACAGCUUGUUUCCUCGAGUGGCCGCGUGCUCCGGGGAUGGUGCCCAUGGGUGGCACAUUCUCCAUCAACUCUGUUUAAGCAUUUCAUCCUAUAUGUGUUGUCCUAAAAAUAAGCAUCCCUGUGGGCUCCUUUUAAAUGAGUUCCUCUGGGCAGUCGGCGCUGCAGUCUCUCCUAUGCUAGCAACUUCCAGCUGCCCUUACAAGUGCUUUUGUAAGGGCAUGAGGGGCUCAUUAAUUCAGCACAUCUCACUGAGCACUCUCCACGGCCCUUCCUGGAGCUGAGCUAUUGGGACAGUUUCAAUGACAGUGCCGCCACAGGCCCCCUGGCACCCUGUGUCCUGGGCUGCAUUCCAAGUGGACCUUGGAUACCAGCCUGGCUCCUCGCUGGGGAGCCUGGUCUUGGGUCCUACUCCCCCACCCUCAUCUCAUGUGGCCUCUGUUUCCUUCCAGAAACCACGUCAGUUCUUGGAAAGCUUGAAAUCCCUCGGUUGGGCAACUCAGCUGUUGGCGCAGAUUUCCCCACUGGGUGUGGGUUUGAGCUCGUGACCUCGAGCAUCCGUCUUUCCUUUGUACAAAGCGGCCACUCCAGGGAGGAGAUGAGCAAGUGACGGUCCAGGGUUCAUGGCUGUGUGUGGUCUUGGAGCUCCCUUCUGCACUUUCCAGCUGUCCAUGUCCCCAUGCAGAUGAGAACCCUUUCCUCAAUGACACCUCAUAACCAGGUACUUUCAUUCAUUUUACCGGAGGCCCAGCCCACUGAAGCAACCCAUCCAGGCCGUCCUUGCCAACGUGCUCUUCUUGGGUGGUUUAAAGGCUGAUGUGCUCUCCAGGGCUUGUGAGUCUUCCUGGGCGCCCCUACCCAGUCAGGAUGGCUGCAGACGCAUCUUCAUGCGCAUUCCAGCAGCGUCUCUGCCAGGGGUGCUGAAAGUCACUGUCUGAAGCAGCUGGGAGAUGGAAGUGAUUCUGACUUUGGGGCACCCACCCUCUGGAAAAUGUGGCACAUCAUUAGAGGGUGGUUCAAGCACACUCAGCUCUCAGGGAGCAGUUAUUCCUGGCACCAAGAAACUAGCCUGGAAAAAAUCUGUCUUUUGCAACAUGCAGGAUCCAUGAAGGACAGAGCUCUGAUUUUCAAGGUGCAGGAUGUUCAGCGGUUCGAUUCCAGAUGAGGCAUCUCCACUCACUAUACUUCAGCGGGAUCGUGGGCUCCCUGGCACAGAUGUCAGGGUUAUGAAUUGUGAUUGGUUUAUAUUUUAUGAUCCACAUUUUGGAAACCAAUUAUUUGUUGAGGAUCUUUGUCUUCUCAUUUAUUUUAGGUCUAGGGUGAAACAUUUCUUUUAUGUUUAACACUGGGCACUGACGCUGAGGUGUGAUCCACACACAAGGUAUCAAGCCUACCUCAAGUCGAGCAGGGGUCUUCAGGACUGCAGCACACUUUGCGGUUGCCUCCUUGGCAGUAGGGGUGGAGUCUAGAAUGAAUUGUUGCUUCCCAGCUUCUAGAGUUGCUGUGGUUGCGAGCUCUGGUCUCUUGAUCCCCGUCUCACACGCUCUGGGCCCACUGUUUUGCUACAGCUAUUGCUGUGGUGACUGGCCAUGAGCAGGUGUGGCCUGACACACCGUGUCUCAGCUCUGCCUGGUUCUCUACCACCUCCACCUGGCAUCUGGCAGGAGCCCACUCAGCCAUGCUGGUGUGUGGUGCACCUGGGAGUGUGAGGGAAUUAGCACCCUCAGGCAACCCCUGACCAGUCGAGACCGCAGCUGAUGGAGAACACUUCCCUUUCCAAGCCAUGGCUGGACCAUCUGAGGAUCCUUCCUUGGUGGAUCCCCAGCAGGAUCAAGCCUAAACAGCCCACAGUGGUAACCCCCUUAGUCCCAUGUCCUUGAGUUGGCUUUUCUUCUUCCUGGUAUCACCCCCUCCAGGUCCCACUCAGGCUUCCUGAUAUCGCCUUCCCAUAUAGCCGUGCUGUGUAGAGGUCGUGGCCUCAGCCAGCUUCUGGGGGAACACGCGCCAGGGCGGCUGCGUAUCUAUUUCAAAUAACAUUAUAAGGUAGGAUACUUAUUUCAUAAUGUGAACCUUUUUCUUAGGAAAACUUCAAUUUGAGAUUGCAUUUCAGAGGGUC